CCUACGGGUGGCAGCAGUGGGGAAUAUUGCACAAUGGGGGAAACCCUGAUGCAGCAAAGCCGCGUGAAGGAAGACGGUUCUAGGAUUGUUAAACUCCGUUCUUCGUGAAGAAGAAUGACGGUAGCGAAGGAGCACGCCACGGCUAACUACGGGCCAGACGCCGCGGUACUACGCAGGUGGCAAGCGUUGUCCGGAAUUACUGGGUGUAAAGGGAGCGCAGGCGGGAAGCCAAGUCAGCUGUGAAAACUACGGGCUUAACUUGUAGACUGCAGUUGAAACUGGUUUUCUUGAGUGAAGUAGAGGUAGGCGGAAUGCGGAGUGUAGCGGUGAAAUGCGUAGAUAUUCGGAGGAACACCGGUGGCGAAGGCAGCCAACUGGGCUUUAACUGACGCUGAGGCUCGAAAGUGUGGGGAGCGAACAGGAUUAGAUACCCUUGUAGUC
rnacentral:rRNA from 1 species